AAAUAAGUUCCUUGAAAAUCUUACCUUGGCUUUCGGCAUUGUAUUGUUUGGAUCCACUCCAUGGUUUCCACUUUCCCCUGCAGAGAACUUUGAGAUGUUAAGACACUGGAAUCCUUCUACCACUUACACAUAAUUAAUCUUCACAUAACCAAGAAAGAUAUAGUCUCAAAGCUUCCAAAUGAAACAAACAUAAAUACUUAAGAUGGAGCAUUGUGGAACAAGAAGAUAAAACAUCCAUAAUCCAUAAUCAUGCAGUAGUCUUGUGUGUGCGUAUAUAUAUUUUACAUUUUUCUUUUUCCUUGGGUAGGUGUGGUUAUAUAUUGAAUCCUAGAAGCAGAUCGUUGAAGAACCGUGAUAAAAUCCCCCCCCAAAAAAAGAAAAGAAAAACCGUGGUUAUACACGGUUCUGAUAAAAUCCCAAAGAACCUUGAAAAUCCUACAGUGGCCAGAAUUCACUUCAACAUGGAUGUGCCUGUUACAGAACGCAAAGUUUGAUUCGACAAAGGUCAAUUGCAUUUAGCACUGCAAAGGGUUAGCUAGAAAUACCUGGAGGCAGUCUCUUGUGGUUGUGGCUGCUGAUGCGUCGGCCGGUGCGGGAAUGGUGGCGGUGGAAGAGCUGGAAAACCCCAUUCAUGCACCCAAUCUGCUUAUGCAGAUCUGGGUUUUCAUCCGAUAGAGAAUAUAGAAACUUUGCGGACAUGUCCACCCGUUCUGUGAUUCUGGACGAUGGAAACUAAUGCUCUCCGAGCUUGAUUUCUCUUUCUAACUUUCUCUUAAUGAAUUUCAGCCGCCUCUGGAAACUUACAGGGGCAUAAAUGGAGUUUGGACAGCCCAAAAGAGUAGUUGGAUCUCAUUUUGUCAAGAGAUUCAUUAUAUGCAUCCAUUUAUUUCUGUGUGAUUUCUAACAUGCAUCCAUUCAUGUAAAUGACAAAAUUGGCAUUCAAUGAGCCAGGGCCCCAGCUUCAUAAACCCACUCGCUACCUUCCCAGCCUCUUACUUGAAUAGCUUCCUUUAAACAACUCUCCGCUCUUUCAACUGAACUGACAUAUUCUCCCUUUAGCUCUUUUGCUGUUGGAGUAAUGCAGAAUAGGGGCUUUGGAUACGGAAGAGAAUGACAGAACAGAUGUGAGAGAGCUGAAACAAAGUAAAAGUCCUGUUUUUCACAGACCAGAGCUGGCAAUAUCUACUGUAAAGCCGAAAAGGGACGAAAAAGAAAGUGGAAGGACACCAAAAUUCACAGUUGCCACGAUCUCCUUCCCCCUUUAUGGCGCUCCAAAACGGCUGUUGGUGCAAGCUGCAGGCAAGAAAAUUCUGCAGAACCAAGAAGAGAUGUUUUUCUGGGUUUGCUCGCAGAGAAUAUAAGCAAACAAGGUAAAUGCUUGCUUCGUCUUUUGGUCCCUCAAGGAAAGGCUGCCGUAGAACUUUGAGUUCUGGAGGGUAUAUAAUGCAGCAUAGGCGGGCAUUACGUAAUUUAUUUGGUUUUAGAGAGAGAGAGAGAGAGAGAGGUGGGUCAGAUCUGGCUGUGAAUUGUGAGGGUCAUCUGCGUUGGUUAUUUUCUACUACUUUCAUGCGGACAAAAUAACGUGGGUGGGUCUGCAGCCUGGGCCUCCCUACAUGGGCAUGUGGAGUCUGUCAGAUGGUGGAUUCAUUCACAUCCUGGCGGAGGCUGCACAGUCUAAAGCUCAUUUUCAACCAUUCCCCAGUCCAGUUUACCAAACUGCCCUCCGGUGGAUUCUCAUUUUUGACCCUCCCGAUCAAAAGACAAUCAGCCAAGGUGGUCCAAUGUUACAGGUACCGGAAUUGGUUGCAAGAUUUGAAAAAGGAACAACCCACGGAGAUGUCUUGGACCACUAGGCUUCCCGGAACUGGGCAAGAAGACUAUACGAAACCUCUAUGCAAAGAAGAUUGUUCUCUGUCCAUCCCUCUUUAACUUGUUUUAUGGGUACAAUCUUUUGUCGCCUCUAGAGCUGUUAGGAUGGGGAUACAAGAAAAUUGGUUCCGCUUGGAGUCUCAAAAUCUUCUUGUAGACUUGGUUGGUGACAUGUUAUGAUAUUUAUUUUUGGUUUAAGCGGUGAAAAAAGACUAAUAAUAUUGCUAUUAAAAACUCAAAAAGAGUUAUUAUUAAUCUCAUGGAUUUGGUCCCACCAAUUAUAAUAACCUGAUGAUGGAGUGAUAGGUUACGACUUUUCUUCUACACACAGGGAUGUCUUGAAAUUCAAAUUUAUGUUCUGUUUUUUUUUUUUUCUUUAAAAAGAUAAUGAUAUAACAUCCGACCAGGAUGAUUUGAAUGAUAGUUGUAUGUAAUGCUUGAAGAGGCAUCUUCCAUAUACUUUGAUAAUCCAAAUGUGGGGCAUAAAGUCACUCUGACAUCGAAGGACAUGGGACUGUUACACCAUAUGUACACACACAUAUACCAUCAUGAUGUGUAGAUUACAUGUUCAUAUUGAUGAUGAAGGGUAUUGGAGCAAUUGGCCAAUGGGAAAUUAGGACAAAUCAUAAAGAUGAAGGAACAGCUGUUAUGUUAAGGACGUAUUUUUGUUUCUGAGACACAUGGCUUCCUACCACCCCAUGCUGUGUCAAACCUUGCUUGCUUCUCACCGGUCAUUG